AAAUGGGCUUUGUCGAAGACCGCUUUACGUUUCUACUAGAGCGUCAAUUGGUUCAAAACGAAGCCCAAAGCAAUUUUUGAUACGACGGUCUCUGAUUUGACAAACCACAGUUAUCUCAGUAACUUUUACGUGCAAUUACAAAU
rnacentral:snoRNA from 1 species